rnacentral:piRNA from 1 species
UUGUUUGUGCUUCAGUCUGACUGCAG